rnacentral:rRNA from 1 species
ACGAGGCACUACGGUGCUGAAGCAACAAAUGCCCUGCUUCCAGGAAAAGCCUCUAAGCAUCAGGUAACAUCAAAUCGUACCCCAAACCGACACAGGUGGUCAGGUAGAGAAUACCAAGGCGCUUGAGAGAACUCGGGUGAAGGAACUAGGCAAAAUGGUGCCGUAACUUCGGGAGAAGGCACGCUGACACGUAGGUGAAGUGAUUUACUCACGGAGCUGAAGUCAGUCGAAGAUACCAGCUGGCUGCAACUGUUUAUUAAAAACACAGCACUGUGCAAACACGAAAGUGGACGUAUACGGUGUGACGCCUGCCCGGUGCCGGAAGGUUAAUUGAUGGGGUCAGCGCAAGCGAAGCUCCUGAUCGAAGCCCCGGUAAACGGCGGCCGUAACUAUAACGGUCCUAAGGUAGCGAAAUUCCUUGUCGGGUAAGUUCCGACCUGCACGAAUGGCGUAAUGAUGGCCAGGCUGUCUCCACCCGAGACUCAGUGAAAUUGAACUCGCUGUGAAGAUGCAGUGUACCCGCGGCAAGACGGAAAGACCCCGUGAACCUUUACUAUAGCUUGACACUGAACAUUGAGCCUUGAUGUGUAGGAUAGGUGGGAGGCUUUGAAGUGUGGACGCCAGUCUGCAUGGAGCCGACCUUGAAAUACCACCCUUUAAUGUUUGAUGUUCUAACGUGGACCCGUGAUCCGGGUUGCGGACAGUGUCUGGUGGGUAGUUUGACUGGGGCGGUCUCCUCCUAAAGAGUAACGGAGGAGCACGAAGGUUGGCUAAUCCUGGUCGGACAUCAGGAGGUUAGUGCAAUGGCAUAAGCCAGCUUGACUGCGAGCGUGACGGCGCGAGCAGGUGCGAAAGCAGGUCAUAGUGAUCCGGUGGUUCUGAAUGGAAGGGCCAUCGCUCAACGGAUAAAAGGUACUCCGGGGAUAACAGGCUGAUACCGCCCAAGAGUUCAUAUCGACGGCGGUGUUUGGCACCUCGAUGUCGGCUCAUCACAUCCUGGGGCUGAAGUAGGUCCCAAGGGUAUGGCUGUUCGCCAUUUAAAGUGGUACGCGAGCUGGGUUUAGAACGUCGUGAGACAGUUCGGUCCCUAUCUGCCGUGGGCGCUGGAGAACUGAGGGGGGCUGCUCCUAGUACGAGAGGACCGGAGUGGACGCAUCACUGGUGUUCGGGUUGUCAUGCCAAUGGCACUGCCCGGUAGCUAAAUGCGGAAGAGAUAAGUGCUGAAAGCAUCUAAGCACGAAACUUGCCCCGAGAUGAGUUCUCCCUGAGACUUAAAGUCUCCUGAAGGAACGUUGAAGACGACGACGUUGAUAGGCCGGGUGUGUAAGCGCAGCGAUGCGUUGAGCUAACCGGUACUAAUGAACCGUGAGGCUUAACC